rfam:Candidatus Nomurabacteria bacterium RIFCSPHIGHO2_01_FTLL_39_9 rifcsphigho2_01_scaffold_24761, whole genome shotgun sequence.
AAUUGGAAACAUAAGAGCUUUUGGUGGAUGCCUAGGGUCCUUAAGACGAUGAAGGACGCGGAGUAGCGGCGAUACGCUUCGGGGAGGCGCUCUCAGCCUUUGAUCCGGAGAUUUCCGAAUGGGAAAACCUUGCUCGGUAAACCCGAGCAAUCUUGUCGCAAGACAAGAAGUCAUACCCAGGGAAGUGAAACAUCUCAGUACCUGGAGGAAAAGAAAACAAAGUUUAUUUCCUUAGUAGCGGCGAGCGAAAAGGAAAGAGCCCAAACUUUAAAUUCCUUAAAAAAAUUUAAAGGGUUGUAGGGUAAUAGUGGGAUUUAUCCGAAGAGUUACAAAAGACAUUGUUAGAUGAAGCUUCUGGAAAGAAGCACCAAAGAAGGUGAUAGUCCUGUAAUCGAAAAUGAUGUCUCUCUUUGAUUAUUACCCUGAGUAGCUCAGGACACGACUGGCCUGAGCGAAUCUGCCGGAACUAACCGGUAAGGCUAAAUACUAUAAGGACACCGAUAGUGAACAAGUACCGCGAGGGAAAGGUGAAAAGAACCCCGAUUAGGGGAGUGAAAUAGACCUGAAACCAAAAGCUUACAAGGAGUCAGAGCGGUAUAUUUAUAUACCGUCAUGGCGUGCCUAUUGAAGAAUGAGCCAACGAGUUAAUGGAUACAGCUUGGUUAACUAGGGAAAACUAGGAAGCCGUAGGGAAACCGAGUGUGAAUAGCGCGUUUGUUGUAUUCAUUAGACCCGAAGCCAGGUGAGCUACCCAUGAGCAGGAUGAACGCUGUAGAAAUACUGCGGGAGGUCCGAACCGGUGAGUCGUACAACGCUCUCGGAUGACUUGUGGGUUGGAGUGAAAAGCUUAUCGAACCUGGUAAUAGCUGGUUCUCUCCGAAAUAGCUUUAGGGCUAGCGUCUUAUACUUACUUGGGGGGUAGAGCACUGGAAGGUUUAAAUAGGGAGAAAUCUCGUUAAUCCUAUCAAACUCCGAAUACCCAAGGAUUGAAUAAGGCAGUAAGACCGUGGGGGCGAAGCUUCACAGGUCAAAAGGGAAACAGCCCAGA